CGUUGUUCGGAAUUACUGGGCGGAAAGCGCACGUAGGCGGAUCUUUAAGUCAGGGGUGAAAUCCCGGGGCUCAACCCCGGAACUGCCUUUGAUACUGGGGAUCUUGAGUUCGGGAGAGGUGAGUGGAACUGCGAGUGUAGAGGUGAAAUUCGUAGAUAUUCGCAAGAACACCAGUGGCGAAGGCGGCUCACUGGCCCGAUACUGACGCUGAGGCACGAAAGCGUGGGGAGCAAACAG
rnacentral:rRNA from 1 species